AUUGCUUCUCAGCCUUUUGGCUAAGAUCAAGUGUAGUAUCUGCUCUUAGCCGUUUAAUAUGUGGCCAUUCUUCUUUUGACCAUUU
rnacentral:snRNA from 1 species